GUGUCAGCAGCCGCGGUAAGACGAGCCUCACGAACGUUAUUCGGAAUCACUGGGCUUAAAGGGUGCGUAGGCGGUGUGGAAAGUCGGAUGUGAAAUACCUCAGCUUAACUGAGGAACUGCACUCGAUACUUCCAUGCUAGAGUAAGACAGAGGUGAGUGGAACUGAGGGUGGAGCGGUGAAAUGCGUUGAUAUCCUCAGGAACACCGGUGGCGAAGGCGACUCACUGGGUCUUUACUGACGCUGAUGCACGAAAGCUAGGGUAGCAAACGGGAUUAGAAACCCGGGUAGUCC
rnacentral:rRNA from 1 species